GACGGAGGGUGCAAGCGUUGUUCGGAUUGACUGGGCGUAAAGGGCGUGUAGGCGGUUGGUCAAGUCUGAUGUGAAAGCCCGGGGCUCAGCCCCGGAAGGGCAUCGGAAACUAGCCAGCUGGAGCGCGAUAGAGGAGGGUGGAAUUCCUGGUGUAGCGGUGAAAUGCGUAGAUAUCAGGAGGAACACCGGCGGCGAAGGCGGCCCUCUGGAUCGUUGCUGACGCUGAGGCGCGAAAGCUAGGGGAGCGAACAGG
rnacentral:rRNA from 1 species